ACCGAAAUAGCUUAGUUGGGAGAGCAUUAGACUAUAGACUGAAAGUCCCUGGUUCGAUCCCAGGUACCAGCA
rnacentral:tRNA from 1 species